rnacentral:lncRNA from 13 species
GCCAGGGGCCUGACCACUCCUGCCCUGAGCCCUGCCUUAGCUGAUCUGGUCACUACUUCGUGUCCCCAGCUGCUGGCCUGCCUAUCCUCUGCAGUGCACAGGAAACCAGUCAGAAGUGGGAGGCCUCUGAACAAACCGUACUGUGUAGCCUCCAGCUUCUGCUUUCUCCAGGCAGAAUGCUGGCCCUCGGUGCCUCUUUCUGCUUCUCCUUGUUCAGACCACUGAGGACUGCCACUGUCCUGUCUGACUCCUCCUGUUGUGGGCCUCACAAAGACUGGCCAUUCACCAUUCAUCUUGGGAGGGAGUAGUUAAAAGUGUAAGUACAUUAUCCAAAAUCCAUUUAUAUUAUUAAAAAGAUAACAUUAGAACAUAUUUCGUAUUCCAUCG